rnacentral:rRNA from 1 species
UACGUAGGGGGCGAGCGUUGUCCGGAAUUAUUGGGCGUAAAGAGCGUGUAGGCUGUUCGGUAAGUCUGCCGUGAAAACCUGAGGCUCAACCUCGGGCGUGCGGUGGAUACUGCCGGGCUAGAGGACGGUAGAGGCGAGUGGAAUUCCCGGUGUAGCGGUGAAAUGCGCAGAUAUCAGGAAGAACACCUAUGGCGAAGGCAGCACUCUGGGACGGUACUGACGCUGAGACGCGAAAGCGUGGGGAGCGAACAGG